rnacentral:rRNA from 1 species
UGGGGAAUAUUGGGCAAUGGGCGAAAGCCUGACCCAGCGACGCCGCGUGGGGGAAGAAGUCCCUCGGGAUGUAAACCCUUGUUGUACGGGACGAAGGAAGUGACGGUACCGUACGAGGAAUCCCCGGCAAACUACGUGCCAGCAGCCGCGGUAAUACGUAGGGGGCGAGCGUUGUCCGGAAUCACUGGGCGUAAAGCGCACGUAGGUGGGCUGUUAAGUCGACCGUGAAAGGCACUGGCGCAACCGGUGUUUGUCGGUCGAUACUGGCAGUCUGGAGUAUGAGAGAGGGAACUGGAAUACCCGGUGUAGCGGUGAAAUGCGUAGAUAUCGGGAGGAACACCAGUGGCGAAGGCUUGUUCCUGGCCCAUGACUGACGCUGA